CACCGGAGACCCGGAAACCUGGCGCGGGGCGGGAUUGUGCCGCCAGCCUCCGAACUUUCCUCGCACUUCCUGUAACCUUAGAGACCAAGCCCGGGGCUGUGAUAGCGAGAAGUGUCUGAAGUGAGUGCGAGUGAAGGUGGGUUACAGCACAGGCAAGCCGGAAUCGAUCAGCAAGGGAAUUGCAUCAAGGUAAGAUGAGAGCUGAAUCUCCAUCCCAAGCGCCUGCAUUGGAGCCAGCCACAGAUCCAUGCUCCCAACUCACCAGAUUUCAAAGACUGCACAAAAAAACGAAUGCGAUAUAGCACUAAUAAUUUUGUAUUGAUUGCAUGUUUAAAUAAUGACACUUUGAAUAUAUAUUGGGUUUUGUGAACUAUAUUAAAUUUAUCUUUCUUUAUCUCUGGUUAUUAGGACAUUUUAAGUUACAGACGACUCUCACUGUGGCUCACUUUAUAUUUUCUAUUGGCAGCAAUGUUCUAGUGAUUAAAAGUAGCCUUAGGAGCCCUGUUUACAUGUGUGCCUCACCUUGAGAAAUAGAGGUUACUGAAAACAUCAGUUAUGUUAUUCAAAAUGCAACAAGAGAGCCAAUGAGGAUCUGUUUUGUUUCUUGGCAAGAGUGUAUAGAAAUAAAUACACAGGAGUACAAAUAAAACUAGGGAAAUCUGGAAAAGGCAGAUUGUAUGCUAAUAUCAAUAUCCUGAUUGUGAUACUGUAUUACAAUUUUAUAAAUGUUAGAAUGGGGAAAGUA